UACGUAGGGACCAAGCGUUGUUCGGAUUUACUGGGCGUAAAGGGCGCGUAGGCGGUUUGGUAAGUCCUGUGUGAAAGCCCUGGGCUCAACCCAGGAAGUGCGCAGGAUACUGCCUGACUGGAGUGACGGAGAGGAUGGCGGAAUUCCCGGUGUAGAGGUGAAAUUCGUAGAUAUCGGGAGGAACACCUGUGGCGAAGGCGGCCAUCUGGACGUCAACUGACGCUGAGACGCGAAAGCAUGGGGAGCAAACAGG
rnacentral:rRNA from 1 species